UACGUAGGUGGCGAGCGUUGUUCGGAAUUACUGGGCGUAAAGGGCUCGUAGGCGGCUUUCUAAGUCGGGGGUGAAAUCCUGGAGCUCAACUCCAGAACUGCCUUUGAUACUGAGAAGCUUGAGUCCGGGAGAGGUGAGUGGAACUGCGAGUGUAGAGGUGAAAUUCGUAGAUAUUCGCAAGAACACCAGUGGCGAAGGCGGCUCACUGGCCCGGUACUGACGCUGAGGCACGAAAGCGUGGGGAGCGAACAGG
rnacentral:rRNA from 1 species